rnacentral:rRNA from 1 species
GUAGGGAGCGAGCGUUGUCCGGAUUUACUGGGUGCAAAGGGCGUGUAGGCGGGAUUGCAAGUCAGAUGUGAAAUUCCGGGGCUCAACCCCGGAACUGCAUUUGAAACUGUAGUUCUUGAGUACUGGAGAGGCAGGCGGAAUUCCUAGUGUAGCGGUGAAAUGCGUAGAUAUUAGGAGGAACACCAGUGGCGAAGGCGGCCUGCUGGACAGCAACUGACGCUGAGGCGCGAAAGCGUGGGGAGCAAACAGGAUUAGAUACCCUGGUAGUCCACGCUGUAAACGAUGGAUACUAGGUGUGCGGGGACUGACCCCCUGCGUGCCGCAGUUAACACAAUAAGUAUCCCACCUGGGGAGU